rnacentral:rRNA from 1 species
AUUGAACGCUGGCGGCAUGCUUUACACAUGCAAGUCGAACGGCAGCACGGGGGCAACCCUGGUGGCGAGUGGCGAACGGGUGAGUAAUGCAUCGGAACGUACCCAGUCGUGGGGGAUAACGCAGCGAAAGUUGUGCUAAUACCGCAUACGACCUGAGGGUGAAAGCGGGGGACCGUAAGGCCUCGCGCGAUUGGAGCGGCCGAUGUCUGAUUAGCUAGUUGGCGGGGUAACGGCCCACCAAGGCGACGAUGUCUAGCUGGUCUGAGAGGAUGAUCAGCCACACUGGGACUGAGACACGGCCCAGACUCCUACGGGAGGCAGCAGUAGGGAAUAUUGGACAAUGGGGGGAACCCUGAUCCAGCCAUGCCGCGUGAGGGAAGAAGGUCCUCUGGAUUGUAAACCUCUUUUGGCAGGAACAAACCUGCGCUAUACGCGCAGCUGAGGGUACCUGCAGAAUAAGCACCGGCUAACUCCGUGCCAGCAGCCG